rnacentral:rRNA from 1 species
AGUGAACGCUGGCGGCAGGCCUAAUACAUGCAAGUCGAACGGCAGCACAGCAGAGCUUGCUCUGUGGGUGGCGAGUGGCGGACGGGUGAGGAAUACAUGGGAAUCUGCCCAGUCGUGGGGGAUAACGUAGGGAAACUUACGCUAAUACCGCAUGCGCCCUUCGGGGAAAGCCGGGGACCGUAAGGCCUGGCGCGAUUGGAUGAGCCCAUGUCGGAUUAGCUAGUUGGCGGGGUAAAGGCCCACCAAGGCGACGAUCCGUAGCUGGUCUGAGAGGAUGAUCAGCCACACUGGAACUGAGACACGGUCCAGACUCCUACGGGAGGCAGCAGUAGGGAAUAUUGGACAAUGGGCGCAAGCCUGAUCCAGCCAUGCCGCGUGAGUGAAGAAGGCCCUCGGGUUGUAAAAGCUCGUUUGUCCGGAAAGAAAAGCGCCGGGUUAAUACCCUGGUGUCCUGACGGUACCGGAAGAAUAAAGCACCGGCUAACUUCGUGCCAGCAGCCGCGGUAAU